CAAAGACACAAUAAGGAUUGACAGAUUGAGAGCUCUUUCUUGAUUUUGUGGGUGGUGGUGCAUGGCCGUUCUUAGUUGGUGGAGUGAUUUGUCUGCUUAAUUGCGAUAACGAACGAGACCUUAACCUCUAAUUAGCGCCGCUAGCCUUGUGCUGGCGCGCGCUUCUUAGGGGGACUAUUGACUUGAAGUCGAUGGAAGUUUGAGACUCUCAGCUUGACAUUUGCUACACUG
rnacentral:ncRNA from 1 species